CGUAGCGCAAUUUAUUCCUCAGCAUGGAAUUCAGUACGGGAAGUUGGUAUGUAAUCUGUAAAUAGUCAACACCGGGAGUAUGGUGAUACAGAUGUGAUUAGAUCAUCGUCCACUGUUGCUUUCGUUAUCUUAAGACGAGUCCAAACGCCCUGACGUUAAUCUGGCAUCAAUGAUGAGCACAGGUUGGGAAUCGAUAAACGAUCGCAAAACCGGUUUUCUAUCAUAUUUGCCACGCUCUAGUCGAACCGAAUGGCAAUUAAUGUUAUAUUUAGGAGUUGCAAAACCAGGUUGAUUUUCUGAGAUCCGCACAUCCAUCCGGAUUGCUUACGCUGGAUCCUUCCCAACAGGAAAGUCUUGACACGAAACUUCCUUUUACCGAGGAAGACAGCAAGAGCCCAGAACAGAUGAUGAUUGACGAAUCCCAGUCCGUAUUUAAAGUAUUUGACUACUGAGAAAGCUAUUUGACUUGUAAUCGUAGUGCGUGCGUGCGUGCGUAGAACAUCGAUGGUGCUAGGGCAAUAAAAAUUAGUGACAAUAUUCGA